rnacentral:tRNA from 1 species
ACAAAUGUAGCCAAGUGGCCCAAGGAAGUGGAUUGUGAAUCCGCCAUGUGCACGUUCAAUUCUUGUCAUUUGAC